UGGACAAGCACUGGGGAACAGCUGAGAGCACUAACACAGUGGACAGUAACAGAAUUCCCUGUCCUUUGCCAGCUGCACACCAGGGACUCUCCAGUUGUCCCAAGUGGCUUGGAAACCCAGAUUUGCCUUCCCAGUCAGAGGUUGCACACCAGGGACUCUCCAGUUACCCCACUUGGAUUGGAGAUCCAAGUCUGCGGCCUCUGUCCUCCUGUGUCUCCCACCACGUGCCAGGGAUCCUCACCUCUUCUUGAUUCCCUCCCUCCCUUUGGAAUGGCUGAGCCUAGCUGGCUUCAACAAAGCAUCUCCAGGUGUCCUACAUGGCCUGGAGACCCAGCUUCUGAAGAUUGGCAUUGAGAUUCUACUAACUACACAGAAGGUUUGCUCUUGGGCUCAGAAGUUCACAAAUCUCCAACAGUGCCAGCAACAUGUCUGACAUCUCAUCUGCACCUCAGCACAGAAUUACCACAAGAUUGAGCACUAAGCACCAUUCAGCUGGUGCUGAGAUUCAAGGCCUGCACUACCAAGCCCACUUUAUGUUGUAUUGGGGAUUGACCCAGGGCUUCACAUAUGAUAGAAAGCAGGGCUUAUAAUGUGGAUGCACUAUAACCCAGCACAGACUCGCUGAUGAUGAAUUCUGAAGUGGCAACAUAGGAAGAGACCCUGUGGUGAAGAUGCUUUCUGACAUCCAAGGGCCCGCUCCUGCUGUUCCUUCUGCCCAACAUACUCUUCCCUCCCGUGGCUCCCACUCAUCCAGCUUCUAUAUCUUAUUUCCAGAAAAUCUCCCUGGAUAUGUGCCUAGCUUUGUCACUCCUGGCCUUUCUUUGUAAGCUCUGUCCACCAAAAUUCCAUGUUCAACAUGCCCUUGGGUUGAAGUAGACCCUCAUGAAAGGCUAGCUCUGCCCCAAGCAUUGUGGUUACAGAGCAGUGUGUGCCUCAGCAGUUAGAGCAACAAAGGGUUCUUCGGGAAAGUCAAAUGUAGGCUGGGCUAUGAGACAGGUGGAGUGUAAUGAAGAGACGGACAGGAGAGGCCUGAAUCCCAGGUAGUAAUGAGGUGACUGCUGUUACCUUUGCACUGCUAAGCCACCAUUCAUGGUAUACACAGUCCACACAUCUCUAGUGAAGACACUGUAGGGGCCUUCGGCAGCCUCUUGGUUAGAGGGUGCCAUCACUGUGACACAGGACACUGCCAGAGGCUGUUAUGUGCAAGCAGAGUUAUGGAGUCUUAUACCAGGAGCCCCUGAGAACCACACUUGGAAGUGAACAACAGAACACUGGCCAUGCUGCCCUCAUCCAAUCACAGUGACUCACCUAUCAACACUUAUCAAUCACAGUGACUCACUUAUCAACACUCAACAAUCACAGAGAUUCAUCAACACCAGUCACAAGACUCACCAACGCACUCAUAAACAGGGUGAAGACAACUUUCUAGAGAGUAGGGGUCCCCAUAACACCAGGUUAGAAGACCACUAUUGCUGUCUUUGUACUUGGUACCAGGGGCCUGCAGUGAUUUUGGGGAUCUAUCAUUUUGGCCAGUUAUUCCUCAACAGUGUGUUGACAAAGAACAGGGGCUCUGAGGAAGUCUCACAGUGAACAUGCAUCUUGACCACAAACUUUUACCUUGAAAUGUUGAGGGGCCUAAAAAGGACUGGAAUCAAAGAUAGCCUCAUCCCCCUUUUAGAUGACCUGUGUGUGCCCAGUGGCACCAUGAGAUGCAGAAGUGCUCCUCUGCAGAGCUUGCAGUACUCAAGACAAACAGGCCAAGGGAUGGCGGGAAGGAGUUAGCACAGCAGCUGAGCUUCGCUAACCCUCAGGAGAUGGUGGGUUGUGACAUAGCACACAGGUCAUCUAAGGGGGCAGACAGCCUGUCUGGCAUUGCAACAGCUCUUGAAACCUGCAGAACCCUUACACACACACACACACACACACACACACACACACACACACACACACACAGGAGGUUUUAAGGGCAGAAAUAGAUUUCCACAUUCUGUCUGAGUCAACACAGAAUGCCCAAACUAAGAUCACCUUGGGAUACACUUCUUGGCAAAGUUUGGAAUGAGGCUCUAUUCUAGACUUGAAAGCAGUCUGCCUCUGCCAGCACACUUUCAAUGGGAGUGUCCCCACAGACAGUUGAUUAGACAAAUGAUUAGCCCAGUAGCAACAGAGAAACCAGGAGAAAAGAGGAAGCCUGGCUGCAGCCCUUUCCCACACUGCAACGCCCCCCACCCCUAUCCUCAGUGGCUGGUCUACUCCUGGAGAGAUGUCUGAUGCCCGUAAACUUGAAUGUAGAUCCUCAUGAGAUCUAACAGACUCUUCCUGGUAUCUUUGUUUUUCAGUGUUUUUAGAAAACCUGAAUGGGGUGUAAAUAGCCUUCAAGUAAAUCCGAAAGAUGGAUCUGUCUGAAGUGGAGUACAAUAAAGACUCAAAAAGCAUGGGAUUCUAUCUA